AUUAAACAAAUCAACACAUUUUCAAUGUCUUCUGUAGCAGUUCUCAUAAAUGUAGGAAAUUGGGGGGAGCUCUACAUCUUCUGCAUAAGCCAUGCCCCACAAAUUGAAUGAGAUCUUUAUCAGCAUGCCUAUCACCAGCAAAGCCUCCCUCGAUCAGUGCCUUCUCAAAGCUUGACAAUACUGAAAGAAAAUAGGAACCUCUCAUUCUUUCUCCGUCUAAAUACUGAGCAGUUGGGAUAAAAUAUGUAAACACGUGACUCUUCAGUUCAGAAGGCCAUCUUCAACUUUUCCAAAAUCAAAUGUACGUCGUUUCAUCAAAUGUCAUGUUCUUUGGCCCAGUAUGCUAUGCAAGUUUUUGCUCCCUUACAAUCGGGAAUAACAGAUUAGUAGUUAUGCAAGGACCCUGAAUAAUGGUAAUUAAGGUAAAUACCAGUCCUACAAAAUAAUUGAUAAAGAACGGGUUUAUACUUCGGCAGGAAUUCCUCUAGCAAUGUGUUAAACAGUAAAAU